UAUAUUUUCUUUAAAAAUUGCCAUUCUCAAG
rnacentral:piRNA from 1 species